AGCACGUAGUCACCCACAGAAGUAACCAUCCUGCCACAGCUCCCUCCUGAGGAGGAGAGGCCACUUUCUUCUAAGAAGACAGACACAGGGGGUCCCACAGGGUGGCUUCCGCUCCGUAAACACGGGAGGAAGCUCAGAAGGCUCACUCAACCCCUGAGCUCACGGACACUGUCUGAGAUAACGCCGAGGCGCGAGGAGCCCCAGCCCUGGGCAACGGGGUCGGUUCCAGACCAACCCCAGCACCACCAGCUCUGGACUGCGGGCUCGGCUGGAGGAAAGGCUUUGCGGCCCCACUCCAGCCGCCAAGACACGCUAAGCCAGAGGCCGAGAACCUCGGAGCAGCUGUAUUUCACCACGACCCAGUCGGGACGACCCCCAAUCCCUUCUCAGCUCUAACCGCCUGGUGACCUACGGAGACGAGGCCGGAGAGCGUGAUAAACAGAAGCGAGAGAACACAGAACCCUGCGCGGAUUCCACUUCCCUCCCGGGGCGGAGAGAGGCUUGACAGAGGGAGAUGCUGAGCAGACUGGCUCUCGAGACGACCUUCAGGGAUGUUCAAAUGGGACGUUCCUGCCCUUUUUUUAAGACUCAAGAUAUAAAAAUGUGAUAUCUUUUAAAAAUCAAAGGGGAGACAAGGAAUAAAUCUAAGCUUCCAAAAUCA